AAACACCUUAUGAAAGUUUCUCACCCCUAUCUCCCAGUGCAGUGGGAGAUGCUUGUGGUCUGGUGCUGCCUGAUUCAUGAAUCACCGUCUGCUAAAAUAAACUCUUUAACACUGUAAUGUGCCUAAGUUCUUUUAACAUUAUGUGAUAAACAUAAUGUGCUAUGGGAACUAGGAUGGUAGGGUGGGUAGUUCUGCCUGGGGGUGUCAGAAAAGGAUUUAAUGAAGAGAUGAGCUGUAUUAUUAUUAUUUUUUAAGAGAUGGAGUCUCACUUUGUCAUCCAGGCUGGGGUACAGUGGCGUGAUCAUAGCUCACUGCAGCCUCAAACUCCUGGGUUCAAGUGAUCCUCUUGCUUCAGCCUCCCAAGUAGCUGGGACUACAGGCAUAUGCCACUGUGCCAAGCUAAUUUUAACAUUUUUUUGUAGAGACAGGGUCUUGCUUUGUUGCCCUGGUUGGAAUGCAUCUUAAAGGUUGAAUCGUAGUUCUAUGGGGACAGAGGGCCAAGAGAGGAAUUCUAAGAAGAAGAGGAAUUCUAAGAAGAAGAGGAAUUCUAAGAAGAAGAGGAAUUCUAAGAAAGAACAGCUUGUGCUGUUCCUGGCAGAUGUGACCUUGGAGUCCUGGUGUGGUAAAGUGAAUCGGCUGCAGAGGCCUGCCAGAACUCAGAGGUCCUGCCUCCUAGAGCCUUAGCUUCCCUAAUCCGGCAGAGAUCCUCUCCAGAAAGGGUAUCAGCAGCACAAAGGCUGUCUCAAGAUGAGGUGCACCCUGAGAUCAGUCUUCCUACCUCUGACUGGGAAGACUGGCAGUGGACCCGGGAUGCCUUGUGAAAUGCACAACCUGGUGAUCCACACCAACCUACAGACCAGAAUUUUUAUGACCAGUCAUCACAUUUCUCUCCAAUAUCUAGAACCUUUGGGUAGGAUAAGAGACUUCAAUUAAAACGCAAUCUUCCCCUUUGACCAAUUACUCUUUAAUUAUCUUCCUACUCACGAACCUCUGCUGAUACCAUGAUAAGUAAGAGAAAAUGACUUUUGAAUUAGUUCAUUGGUGACAAAGUCUUCUAAGGAAACAGUGUUUUAUAUAUAUCCAUAGAUACACGUGCACACACCUGCUCAGCUGCCCAUGUGCAAACACGUGCCUGCCAUGGAGCAUGUAUCUACAUAGGUCUACAUAUUCCCUAGAACACAAAUAACCUUGCAGAGAACUUGCUACAUGUGCCAGGGUUCUUAUCUACCCAAUUGUGCAUACAUAGCAAAAACAAACAAAAAAACCCUAAUACAACCAC
rnacentral:lncRNA from 1 species